rnacentral:rRNA from 1 species
AAGCGUGGGGAGCAAACAGGAUUAGAUACCCUGGUAGUCCACGCUGUAAACGAUGUCGAUUUGGAGGUUGUGCCCUUGAGGCGUGGCUUCCGGAGCUAACGCGUUAAAUCGACCGCCUGGGGAGUACGGCCGCAAGGUUAAAACUCAAAUGAAUUGACGGGGGCCCGCACAAGCGGUGGAGCAUGUGGUUUAAUUCGAUGCAACGCGAAGAACCUUACCUGGUCUUGACAUCCACAGCACUUUCCA